CAGCACCUCAAGUGGUCAGGAUGAUUAUUGGGCCUAAAGCAUCCGUAGCCGGCGCUGUAAGUUUUCGGUUAAAUCUGUACGCUCAACGUACAGGCUGCCGGGAAUACUGCAGCGCUAGGGAGUGGGAGAGGUAGACGGUACUCGGUAGGAAGGGGUAAAAUCCUUUGAUCUAUUGAUGACCACCUGUGGCGAAGGCGGUCUACCAGAACACGUCCUACGGUGAGGGAUGAAAGCUGGGGGAGCAAACCGGAUUAGAUACCCGCGUAGUCC
rnacentral:rRNA from 1 species